AUACAUGAAUUAAGACACAGGACCUGAUGAAUCAAUUCAGCAUUUUUUUACAGCUUAAUCACGGUGAACUCAUUAGCGCAAUCAACAACAUGCAUCAUGAAAAAAAAUUCUCAAAGGUACGUAUACAAUUAACGUAUAUUCCAUACAGAGAGAGAGAGAGAUGGAUUUUGUUUACUAAUAUUUUGAACUUAAACAUCAUUCGCAUCGCUUAACAAAUCCCAGUCUUUCAUCUGAAAGGAAAUUCAAACCGUAUGAGUCUUCUUGACAGUAAUUUUAAAUAUCUCUUACUGUUUCCUCAAUGCACAUAUGCGCUGCAGAUGGUGAUAUUCAUGACCAGCAGUUACUCUUCAACAAUGUUCAAAGAUCUUGGCUGUAAUGUAGAUGGUAAGGGGAAAAAAACUAACAGCCAUGCCUUAUUAUAAUCAGAGUUGAGCUCACACUAGAUUUUAUUUGAAAGAAUUGUGCCCAUAAUCCAUUUUCCAAUAAUUAAAUAAAUAAAUAAAAAGUUUCUGAUGUGCUCUGAAUCUUAUGCAUUGACUGCAUGUGACAAAAAUAUCCAGAGCACUCCCAGUGAUUACGAUGAAACCAGAAAAAUCUACCGCUCUGAUAAAUUCUCAUCUGCUUGGUUAAAGUUCAUUAAUGAGGCUGACUUUAAUAAAGAAACAUUCCAAGGUUUGAUAGCUGAUAAACAAGCUCAUUACCUUGAACAAAAUCCCGGUACCAUCCCCUGUCUCUGCCCUUGCCAGUUUGGGAACAUGGUAUUAAAAAUUUACAACUUUACACAUUAUUUUAUUAUUUUCAUAAGAGGACAUGAACACAUAUAUAACUCUUUUCACAAGGUCCAUGAAUGUUGUUCUUUUCUAAACUCUUUUGUUGAUUUUUUAUUUCUUUAGGAAAUCCGUCACUGUCACCUCAGUGAGUUUCUGCAAAAAUGAACACCCUCCAAGCCGAUCAGGAAAACAUCUUUCUGAUGCGGGCAAGAAAAUGACAUAAUGAAGAGUAAUCAGAUGACCUUUUGUGCUAGUCUUUUAUGUUGAUCAAGGCUACAUUUGUUCAAGCAAAAAUAGAGCCUAAAACAGUAAUAUUGUGAUUUUUUUUUUGUAAACAAUAAAACUGGGAAUAAGGUUAAACGUCCAGUGAUUGUAUGUGUUUUUUAUCAUGUAUGGAUUUGACACCUUUAAUUCAGAAAUGAUUAACCUUCCCCUGAUAUAAAUGCAUUUAUCACUGAACCUAGUUAUUUUAACCAAUAAAUAGAUAGUCUCACAACUAAUGUUACAAUUAAAGUAAUGUUACCAAGUGAAUGAUAAAAAAAUCUAAUGCAUGAGGACUGAACCUUCUGAUUUGUUUAAUUUUCACUAACAAGCAAGUGCAUGAAAUCAAGCAUGCAAUCUGCUUAAUCUUUUAACAAAAUACAAAAAAUACAAACAUCCAAAUUGAAAUGAUUUACUGAGGCAGGAACUUGACUGGCCUGCACAAACCUCAGACCUGAACCACUCCAUGGGCGUAGGUUUGGUCUCAGCUUUGGUGGGGACUGUGUGCUCCACUUAAGUCAGCUGUCUGUGUGGCUGAGAUGAUCAUGGACUCUGACACCCAUGCACUUGUAGGGCAAAAAUUAAUAAAUUAAAUUCAAUUAAAAACUACAUAAAAUAACUGUUGUAACUUAAAUUAGUAACAAUAGUAACUAUCAUAUUAUCAUACAAGCUUUUCCUUAUUUAAAUUUUUGUAGAAAUAAUAACAAAAUUACAAUAAAAAUGAAUUUUGCUCUUCUAAUGGAGAAAUGAUAUAAAGUAUUUUCCCAUUUUUUCUUAUGUUUAUAAAGGUGACAGUAACACAUUUUGAUAACACAAAUGGUCGUUUUUGCAGUCUUAAUUCAAUUUUAUGUAAAAAUGGUUGUCAGGACAAUCAAUGCGUCAAAAAAUAUUUUUAUCCAGCAUUGUUAAAUUUGUUAACGCAGACGACGACGAAAAAUAUUAGUUAACGAACAUUUUUUCUGUGACUAAGACAAGAUGUUGACGAGCUAAAAAUAAUAUCUGACGACGAAAUUAUGAUGAAAUUUAUGCCGCGUCUUCAACUACCGGACAUUAAAAAUGCAUCCUAUAGGCUAUUGUCCUUCAAAUGUGCAUCCCUGUCAUUGGAUUGCAAUCGGAUAAGAGCCGUUUGGAUAUAUCUAGUCAGUAUAGCAGCGGCAGUGGAUGUAUAGACUAAUAAAAUGUGAACUAGUGAUCUGAAACAAUGGCCUCAGCACCCUGGUUAAGGUAACCAGACUUCCUGUUUUUCCAGGAGUCACAAUUCGUUCUCGAUUAACUUAAAGUUAGUGAAAGGGGGACAGGUGGAAAACUAAUGCAUUGCUCUACUUUACAAAGUCUCUGCAUGCGCCCUUUCUUCUAAACAUUAUGUAAAAUGUUGUUAUCCGGUGAUCAUGUGAUUGCUCUGAUUGUAUUCACCUGUGGACACAUCAAAGGACUCGUUAAAAAGAGGUUUGUGACUUGUGGGGUUACGUUUUGCUGUCUCUCAGGGGCAAUAUAACCUCCGGAUGAAGAUAGACAGUUAAACAUUAUUAUGUGUGCAGUGUAGGUUGAUGUGAUAUUUUCAACAGGGGGCACCACUGUAUUAAUGUACUGAAGACUCUCUCUCUCUCUCUCUCUGUGUGUGUGUGUGUGUGUGUGUGUGUGUGUGUGUGUGUAGAUGAGUUGAGUUGGGGGUUGUGUGUUGUCCCAUGCCUUUUUCUUCUGUCCUUAUACACCUGUGCCUUUUUUUAAAAAGCUUUAUUUAUUCAAAUUAUUAUAAAGGAAGUGUUCUUUUCUUUGUUACAACGACUGGUUGUGUAGAGUUCUAUUUUGACGGACAUACAUUUCAAUAAGGUUCAUUACAAUUAUAUGAUUGCACUAAAUAAUGGUUGUUUUCUUCUAGUUGUAAAAAGCAUCGCAGCAGGCACACAACAUCAGAAGACGUUGACACUUCGUUAAAUUUCAGUUGCGACGUCAGGUGACCAAAAUUCAAUGUAAAUUCAGCGCCUAAUAUCAAUGUUAAAUUGAUGUCCAAUACCGAUGUCAGCUGACAUUGAUAUUUUGUUGUUUUUAGGUUGUGUAACCAAAAUUCAAUGUUAAGUCAACAUCAAAUACUGUAUUGACGUUAACCCGAUUUUCAUUUUCAACCAAAAUACAAAUUCUAUCUUAAGUCAUGUCCAACGUUAGACGUCCGGUGCCUGCUGGGAUGAGGCUACAUUUUGUUUCACAUUCAGAUUAUUAUAUCUCUCUCUGAAUGUUCUAGGGUUGUUCUUUCAAAAGCCUGUUUGGAACAGAAAUGCAGGGAAUGAGAAAAGUGCUACUUUCACUGAGAGUACAUGCUUUCACUUGAAAAUGUUGUCUUGGCAUCCAUUUUAUCCUAUAUACUUGUUUCUGGAAAGAAACAUUAUUUUUGUUUGGAAAGCAAAUUGCUGUGUCUCUCUUUGACCUUUUGACAUCACCUCAUACCAAUUUGGCAAAUUCAAUCCUAGUGUGAGCCCGGCUUUAGUUAAACAAUGGGAUUAUUUUGUUCUUAGCACGUGAAGCAGCAAAAUCUUAAAGAAAUCAAGAAUAUUGUCCUGCAUCCUUGGCCAAUCUUCUUUGUUGGCCCCCCUGUGCAGGGCCAUUGCUAGUGGGGUGAAAGGUGGUGAUAAUUAUAGGGGCCCACGGCUGAGGGGGGGCCCCGGCUAUCUGGACCGUCUGGCUGCGGCCAGUCUAAAAAAGACGCUCAGGAGAGUUGACAGAACGCUGCUGCAUGUCGUCACAAAAGCGAAUCAUUUUCACGUGUUAUUAAGCUUUGCCAAUUUAACCAUUCAAAAGACUUUAAAGCAUUCAAACACAAGACACGGAAAAGCUGAACUGAGUAGCUGGUUACUCGCGCGCUGUGCUCAGUGCGCAUGCAGAGAGCCGUGCCUUACAGACCACAACACUGAACUGAGCUCUCCUUUGCGAAGUUCUCCUUUAAGUUACUCCUACACCUGAACGAACAAAAACAAAAGCAAGAGAAAAGGAUGUAUAAGAGCCCAAUUCAGCACCGUGGUGUUCUGGUGUUCAGGGCUCACGCAGAGAGAGGCGUCUCAAAACACUUGAGCACCGAAUUUGUCUGUUUUUGCUCUUGUACCGACAAAUACAUAAAAAAUAUGUGAAAAUACCCAUCUUGGAUAGUAUGUUUGAAAAAAUUUUUUGGUUAUGUCAGAAAGUAAACAGUUGAGGAAAAAAAAUUGUAUGUGUAUUAUAUUGGAUGCAUUCAUUGUCUCUUAAAGUGACUAAACAUUACUGCUGCUGUAAUGUUAAUCCAAUGAAAAAAAAUGAAAAAAUUACAAAGAAAAAAAGAAUUUUUUUUUUUUUUUUUUUACUAGUAAGUGCAGGACACUAUUAAUUAAUGUAUGUAAGUGAGUAUAGCAAAAUAAGAGGGGCAGCUGUUGGACUUGUAACCCAGAGGUCGCAGGUUUGAGUCUCGGUGCUGGCAAGAGUUGUAGGUGGAGGGGAGUGAAUGAACUCUCUUCCACCCUCAGUACCCAUGGAUGAAGUGCCCUUGAGCAAGGCACUGAACCACCUGUUGCUCCCUGUGUGUGUGCACUUGGAUGGGUUAAAUGCAGAGCACCAAUUCUGAGUAUGGGUUACCAUACUUGGCAAAUGUCACAACAUAAGGCGAACUGUGACAUAUUAUACCCAAAAAAUGUUCAUAGAGUUUACUACUAGGAAAAUUAUAUAUAUAUUUGGGACCAAAAUUAUUCAGACAUUUUGACCAUGUUUUGCUUACGUUUUUUUCCCC
ensembl:lncRNA